CCAGUUCAGAUUGUGGGCUGCAACUCGCCCACAUGAAGUCGGAAUUGCUAGUAAUUGCAGGUCAGCAUACUGCAGUGAAUACGUUCCCGGGCCUUGUACACACCGCCCGUCACACCAUGAGAGCCGAAAAUACCCGAAGUCAGUGACUUAACCAGUAAUGGAGAGAGCUGCCGAAGGUGGGUUUGGUGAUUGGGGUGAAGUCGUAACAAGGUAGCCGUAUCGGAAGGUGCGGCUGGAUCACCUCCUUUCUAAGGAGA
rnacentral:rRNA from 1 species